UGCAGAAUCCCGUGAAUCAUCGAGUCUUUGAACGCAAGUUGCGCCCGACGCCAUUAGGCCGAGGGCACGCCUGCCUGGGCGUCACGC
rnacentral:rRNA from 1 species